GGGGGUAAAACCAACAUUCGCUUGAACUGUUGCAGGUCAAGGCAACAGGCCCAUGUGACUAGGCUGGAGCCAAUUGCUGUACUCAGAACCUCUGACAGAUGUGGCCGUCAGCCAUCCAGCAUCGUUUUUCAGCUCAUAUAAGGUAAAAGUAAAAGGUUUUCCAGCUUCUGAACAGUGAGGAAAAGGUUUCACCCAGGAUCCCUUGUGUCGGCGGCUUAAAAACAGAGUGGAAGCACUGGCGUUCCAGUGGCCCUCUGUGUCCUGAAGAGGUGAGAAGACACCCACCCUUCUCCAUCCAGACCAAGGGCCUAGUGCAUGACAUGUGUGGGCAAAGUCCUCUUGUCUGUGCUGAAGCAGGUUGGGCUAAAUGGAUGAAAACCAUACAUUUUCCGAAGGGUAGUGGUCCACCCCACACUGAGGAGAGCGAGAUGCUGCAGCCGGAUAGAUACCGAGACGGUAUCUGACCCUCAUCGAAAUCUACUGUCUCCUGUUUUUACUUGUUAUUUAUUUUAAACUGUUGAGGUCAGGAUAUUGUUGUAAAUACCAGCUAACAAUAGGUAUAGAUGUGAUAUUGGUUCAAGGUACCUUUACCUAUGCUAUGUCUUUCGGUGUGGGUGUUGAGGUAUGGCUGAAAUGGAAGUCAAGAUCCAGUGUACAUGUGGUUCUGCACAACUUCAGCUGUAAUGGCUUUCCCCAAAACUACCUUGGGCAUUACCAGUGUCCUGAGGAAUUCAGUGUUAGAGAUUAUGGACACUUUUACAUGGAAUUACAAUUCCUGAUGAAAUAAAAUGGAUGUUAGACCCGU